ACUCUUCUAGUUUGACGUUAAUUAGUAUGUAUGUGUGUGUAUAUAUUUUGAGAAAUAAACACUUCGUCAAAGAACCAAACUAGAAAAAUUAUGUUUAGCCAUCAAAGAUAAUCAAUCAGGAAUAUACAAACUCCGCAUAUCUUGUUCUCUUGAUUUAGAAGCUCUCCACGCAAGUUGGUGGGCAAAAUUGUUUCCUUUCUCUCGCGAUUUUAUCGAACGAAACCACACCAAAAUGAGCACCCAGAUUGUUAAUUUCCUCUAAAGAUCCAUCUAAUUUUGGUGAUGUUGUCGUCUUACCAUCGUAGAAGGUUCACAACCUUUGCCGAAUCAGUUUCCACAUGCACUCGGUAUCCCAUCAGGUUUUGUCAAAUUUCUCAGUGUUAGAAAAAAUUUCAGGAGCUUUUGUUAAUUUAGAAGCUUGAGUGUAAGAGAAGAGUAAAGCGAAGAAGAAGACACAAGGGUUUUAAGUGGUUCAGCCUAAUGUUGGCUUACGUCCACUGUAAGGCUAAUCUUUCACUUUCUUUUAGAGAGGAUUACAAAGGGAAUUUCUUCUACAACUUCCAGAAGUACAGACUAAGCUAUUUAAAAGGACUUUAGCCUAAUAACUAACUCUUUACCGAAGUACUCUGUUUUACCCAUGGUUUCUGUUGUAUUCAACUACGGUAUGUAGAUUCGAGCCAAUCUCAUACAAUGUUCAAACUUUACUUGAGUGACUGUUUUAGUUAACAUAUCUGCAGCAUUAUAAGAGUUUCGAGAUCAAUGACUUGUCGUAGGACACUAUCACUAAGAUUCAGAAUGAUUGUCCCAUAAGCGAUCUCUUCCAUUGUCUCCUUUUCUUCAGUUGACAUCGACUCAGGUAACUUUGCUGGAUCAAGAGUUACUUUGGAAGCUUUCUACUGKCCAAGAAUUGCUUUAAUCUUGAUUUUCAACAGCUCGAAGUCGCCUUUUCCAUCGAACUUUUCAAUCUCAUACCUCGCUACAGCCAUCGCUGGUUCUUGCUUCAUGAAUUAACCAAAACUCCUGUGAACCGUGGCUCUAAUACCAAUUUUGUUAGAAAAAAUUUCAGGAACUUUUGUCAAUUUAGAAGCUUGAGUGUAAGAGAAGAGUAAAGUGAAGAAGAAGACACAAGGGUUUUAASUGGUUCAGCCUAAUGUUGGCCUACGACCACUGUAAGGCUAAUCUUUCACUUUCUUUUAGAGAGGAUUACCAAGGGAAUUUCUUCUACAACUUCCAGAACUACAGACUAAGCUAUUUAAAAGGACUUUAGCCUAAUAACUAACUAUUUACAGAAGUACUCUGUUUUACCCAUGGUUUCUGUUGUAUUCAACCACGGUAAGUAUUACACUUAGACCUUCCAAAAUCGCCAUAUAUUCCAACAUUUUAACACUACAUUUCGUUUCAAAAGGUUUAUUUCCAACCAAUAUUACUUCACCUUUCCAAUUUCGAAGCAGCCAUCCAAGUCCCCCUCUCUAAAGAGUUUCUAACCACGAUGCAUCAGUGUUCAGCUUCCAGACAUUUGGUAAAGGUGGAUUCCAUGCCUCAACAUCUUGAAUCCCGCCAGUAAGAUUUCAUUGUCAAACAAAAUUUGAGGUUGAAAUGUUACACCUCAAUGCUAAAUGUCUUUUGUCCUUGUUGAAUUUGGUUAUUUGAUUGAUGAGUCUUUCUGAUGUAAAAAUUAUGUUGUUCCUAGAGUUCCACAACACCCAUGAAGUGAUCCUAAAGACUUUUAAAAAUCUUAUUCAUUUGCAUUAUCCAGCAACCAAUCCUGUUAUGGGAAGACAAAAUUAGACCCGACAAGAAGCGAACUACAUCACAAGUCAAUGGCCCAAAGCAUGACCAGAUCCAGGGUAUGACUAAAUUCAAUCCAAGACAUGACCAAAUCUAAAGCGUGACCAAACUUAGAGCCUAGCCAGGUCCCGACAGACCAGGUUUUUGUGCUUCUCCAACAAGCCAAUUGAUGGGUCAGCUCCCAUUUUCUUGUACCGUCUGGCCAACGAUGGUGUUAUCUCCAAAAUCCAAGCUAUUUGAGAAGAGAAGAUAUCCUAUCAACUUUGACAUCUAUAAGUAAAGAGAUAAAUCUCAYAAUUCAGGUACGCUGAGAACCUUAUUCACAUUACUCGCAAACUUCUGAUUCUAACUAGGCAUUUUAGCCUAUGUGGCUAGCACCACACCGAUGUUCAAUGCUAUUUGUUUUGCAAGUUGACGUUCGUUUCCAAUUUCAUUAUUAAUAAUUGGUGCGAAUUUGGCGGAUUCCUAAGGAGCCUAAAUUCUGCAUUAACAAUUGGCACCGUCUGUGGGGAAGACUAAGAUCUAAAAGCCAAAAAGAUCAACAUGAAUUCUUGAAAGGAUCAGYAGUGGUCCGACGACGAAUUACAUUCGAGGAGAAAAGUGAASUGAGAAUUGCUUGGGCCUGAAGAAGUCCUAGGUAAAACAAGUCGACAAGUUCUCARACAAAAAGAGCAACAGAUGAGGGUCAAUAAUAACAAAUGAACAAAUUAGCCGCCUUGGAGAAGAAAGUCAAAGGAAUGCACCAAAAUAUAUCUCUCCUUCUAAGCAAGCUCGAACAACAGGAUUUGAGACAACAACAGGAUGUGCGACAAAUACGCUAGUCUAAGAUCCACGAAAAGGUAAAGCUCUAGAAAUCGAAGAUGUUGAGGAGUCGACAAACAAUCCACUUAAUCGAAGCAAAUUGAAGAUGGGAGGAAACAGCAAGUCACUAGAUGAAGUUUUCGAUCGACUAAGUCCAAAGACCACGCAACAACAGAAGUUUGUGGCGUGCGGUAGGAGCAAGAGCAACCAGGUUAGCUGACCAGAUCUCAAGCACACCCUUGUUGACAAGAGAUUGCAAUGUAGCAAGCAUGAACGAGCUGAGAAGUAGCAGAAACCCGAAGAAAAACAGAAAGACAAAGGGUGUGGCCUAGAAGAAAUCAUAGAUCAGGCGGAAGAAAUUAUGAAAGAGAAGGUCCCACCAAAGUUUAAGUUUCCAGCCAUCAAAUAAUACGAUGGCUCUAUGGAUCCUAUCGACCACCUCAACGCAUAUAGGGAAUGRAUGGACAUUUACGAGGUGACAGAAGUCAUCAGAUGUAAGGUGUUCUCCUUCACGUUGACUGGUUCAGCCCGCAUAUGGUUCCAACAAUUGAAGAGGAAGUCAAUCUCCUCCUUCAAAGAACUUGCAAGGACAUUCGUCACACAAUUUAUCGGAGGAYAGAACAGAAGUCUACCCAUGGCAUAUCUUCUCACCAGAAGUUGAUAGAAUGCCUCAAAGAAUACGUAGCUCGGUUCAACGAGGAGAAGUUGCAAGUCGAGGGUGUUACUGACGGAAYGUCCUUUAUCACCUUCAUGUUCGGUGUGAAAGAUGAAAAUUUGUCAUUCUCCUUUGGAAAAUAAGACCCUAGCUACCUUCUCUUAAGCAUUAAGUCGCGCCCAAAAUAAUAUGAGUGUAGGGGAACUACUCUAUUCAAAGCGGGAUUACGUUAGAGAGCGCAGUUAAGCAGAGCACAGCGUGAAGAGAUAUAGGUCUAGAGAAGAACAAUCUGGAUCAAAGUACGRAAAAACUGACAGUACGAGGGAUCAACCAGGAUAACAGGACCUUCCAAAUAGGUUCGA